GACGAACGCUGGCGGCGUGCUUAACACAUGCAAGUCGAACGGAAAGGCCCCUUUGGGGGUACUUGAGUGGCGAACGGGUGAGUAAGACGUGAGUAACCUGCCCUAGCUUCCGGGUUAUCUUGAGUAACCUGGGGCAAAUAACGCUAAUGAAUCCUAGCCGCAUGGUGUGGGUUGGAAAGCUUUGGCGGUGUUGGAUGGACUGGUGGGCUGUUGGCUUGUUGGUGGGGUGGUGGGGUACCGAGGCUUUGACGGGUAGCCGGCCUGGGAGGGCGACCGGCCACAUUGGGACUGAGAGACGGCCCAAGCUGCGACGAGUGGCAGAAGUGGGGAAUAUUGCUCAAGGGGCGGAGGCCUGGUGCAGAAGGGCCGCGUGCGGGAUGGCGGCCUUCGGGUUGUAGACCGGUUUCAGCAGGGGCGAAGCUUGUGGUGACGGUACCUGCAGAAGAAGCACCGGCUAACUACGUG
rnacentral:rRNA from 1 species